rnacentral:rRNA from 1 species
CUGGCUCAGGACGAACGCUGGCGGCGUGCCUAACACAUGCAAGUCGAACGGACUGACACCUAACACCGAGUGCUUUUGGAUACUGUGGC